CCACGCCUCGCCCCAGACCACGAGGCGGGAGGGCGCGCGCAUGCGCCGCGGCCUGCGGCACGCGGGCGCUCGGCGCGCGCUUCACCCUAGACGCCCGCGGGCGCGAGGCUGGCCGUUGGGGCGGGGUCAACGGCCGGCGUUCGGGAGCGUUAGUGUGCGCCUGCCGUGAGCCCUGUGAGGAGGGCAGAGCGAGGGGAGCCGCGGCAAGAAUCCUUUCCAAAAGCAAAAUUUUGGUUCUCUCCAAGCAAUACUGCAUGUGCUCUGCAUUUUGAUCAGUUGCAUAACUUAGCUGGGAUAUAUUCUGGCCAGUAAAGAAGAUUGUAACAUUUUUCAGCCACACAGGAUUGCCUGAUUUCUGCAAAUCUACAUGUACAGUGAAAGUGAAUUUCUGUUGAAGUGGAAUUUCACUAGCCUUUGUAGGCUUUAUGAGUUUAAUAUGGAACAACAGAUCUGCUGGUGUAGCUUACCAGUGGCUCCAGGUAUUCCAGCAAAAGACCAGAGAAAGGAAAACCAACACAAAUUAAAAGAGACCAACUGAAAGUUUGACUGGGCUUUUCACCAAGAGCUAUGAUCAUGAGUACCUAUGACUGUGCAGCUAAUCAUAUUUUAGAAGAAAAAUGGAGAGAUGAUGUGAUAGCCCAGAUGCCCUGAGGAUAAAAUGUUGUGAACAUAUGUUGUGAUUCCUUGAAUUAAGUUGUCAUCAGAGUCAUGGACACAAGAUUCCCCAGGGAGCAGAUUGCCAUACGCUCAAGGCUUCACUUAUUCCACUGGAGGAUCUGCACAUACAUAAACAAGUAAUUCAAGAAAGUAAGCUGCUGUAAGUACAGCAAUUAUCUUUCCAGCUUGCUGCAGGAACAAUACCCCUCGCGUAAUUCCAGGAAGGAAGAAGAACUCAUGAAGUCAGCACAGAGGGGUUUGUCUCAGAGUCAUGUUUUACUCCUUACAUGGUGCAUUUCAUUUUGGCAAGCAGACUGCCAGUCUUACAGACAUAAACAAGAGGAGUAUCAGUAAGAAGCUCACAGUAUAGCCUCCCCGGAUGCACCUGUGUGGCCCCAAUUUGAAGACUGACCAUGUAAAAUCACCUCAGCAUUAUCCUCUCUGUGAUAUUUCCAUUGGGGGAGGAAAGAGGAGAGAGCACUGACAAAGACAAAACGAGCAAGGAAUUUAGAGGGAAAAGUGGCAACUAAUGAUAGUCAGCAAGGUAUAUGAACUUGCAUCCCUCAAAAGCUUCUUUUUCUGCCUAAGCUGAGUAUGAUGGAGAGAGAGUUGAAAUACAGCUGAAUAUCAAAGGAAUAAGAAACUGAAUACUUCAGACCUGAACUUUGUCAUCAUUGAUCAAUCUUCUAAAAUGAAAGGGAUGACUAUUGCUCUAGCUGAGUGUUGACAACAACAACAACAACAACAACAACAACAACAACAACAACAACAACAACAACAACAACAACAACAACAACAACAACAUGAGUGCUUGUGCUCUGCCUCAGCACAAAGUCAGUUAGCUUGGCUCAAAUCAUGCUGUAUUUCCAGUGAAGCUGGUUGGAGGAGACAGUGUU